rnacentral:rRNA from 1 species
AGUGCAUUUAUUAGAACAAAACCAGGCGGCCUUCGGGCCGUUUUUUGUUGACUCAGAAUAACUAAGCUGAUCGCAUGGUCUCGUACCGGCGACGUGUCUUUCAAGUAUCUGCCUUAUCAACUUUCGAUGGUAGUGUAUCUGACUACCAUGGUGGUGACGGGUAACGGAGGAUAAGGGUUCGACUCCGGAGAAGGGGCCUGAGAAAUGGCCACUACGUCUAAGGAUGGCAGCAGGCGCGCAAAUUACCCACUCUCAGAAUGAGGAGGUAGUGACGAGAAAUAACGAGACCGUUCUCUAUGAGGCCGGUCAUCGGAAUGGGUACAAUCUAAACCCUUUAACGAGUAUCUAUGAGAGGGCAAGUCUGGUGCCAGCAGCCGCGGUAAUUCCAGCUCUCAAAAUGCAUAGAAUUAUUGCUGCGGUUAAAAAGCUCGUAGUUGGAUCUGUGUCAGGGACUCGGUCCGCCUUCGGGCGCGCACUGGGCUUCCCCAGUUUUUCGGCUGGUUUUCUCGCCAUGGCCUUAACCGGUUGUGCCGGUGGGUUGGCAAUUUUACUUUGAACAAAUCAAAUGGUUCACCACAGGCGUUUCGCUUGAAGGUUCUUGCUUGAAUUAUUAAAAAAGAAUUUCGGUCCAAUUUAAUUGGUUUUAUAGGCGGAAAUAAGGGUUAAUAAAAACAAACGGGGGCAUUCGAAUCGCUGCGUGAGAGGUGAAAUUCUUGAACGGCAGCGAGACAAACUACAGCGAAAGCAUUUGCCAAGAAGGUCUUCAUUAAUCAAGAAACGAAAGUCCCAGGUUCGAAAGGCGAUCAAAUACCGCCCUA